rnacentral:rRNA from 1 species
GACGAACGCUGGCGGCGUGCUUAACACAUGCAAGUCGUACGGUAAGGCCCUUUCGGGGGUACACGAGUGGCGAACGGGUGAGUAACACGUGAGUAACCUGCCCACAACUUUGGGAUAACGCUCGGAAACUGGUGCUAAUACUGGAUAUGUGCUCCUGCUGCAUGGUGGGGGUUGGAAAGCUCCGGCGGUUGUGGAUGGACUCGCGGCCUAUCAGCUUGUUGGUGGGGUAGUGGCCUACCAAGGCGGCGACGGGUAGCCGGCCCGAGAGGGUGACCGGCCACAUUGGGACUGAGAUACGGCCCAGACUCCUACGGGGGGGCAGAGGGGGGAAAAAUGGCCAAUGGGCGCAAGCCUGGAGCAGCAAAGCCGCGGGCGGGAUGACGGCCUUCGGGUUGUAAACCGGUUUCAGCAGGGACGAAGCUUUUUGUGACGGUACCUGCAGAAGAAGCACCGGCUAACUACGUG